rfam:Salmo salar isolate Sally breed double haploid chromosome ssa22, whole genome shotgun sequence.
UGGCUCAGUUGGUAGAGCAUGGUGUUUGCAACGCCAGGGUUGUGGGUUCAAUCCCCAC